CCUACGGGCGGCAGCAGUCGAGAAUUAUUCACAAUGGGGGAAACCCUGAUGGUGCGACGCCGCGUGGGGGAAUGAAGGUCUUCGGAUUGUAAACCCCUGUCAUGUGGGAGCAAAUUAAAAAGAUAGUACCACAAGAGGAAGAGACGGCUAACUCUGUGCCAGCAGCCGCGGUAAUACAGAGGUCUCAAGCGUUGUUCGGAAUCACUGGGCGUAAAGCGUGCGUAGGCUGUUUCGUAAGUCGUGUGUGAAAGGCGCGGGCUCAACCCGCGGACGGCACAUGAUACUGCGAGACUAGAGUAAGGGAGGGGGAACCGGAAUUCUCGGUGUAGCAGUGAAAUGCGUAGAUAUCGAGAGGAACACUCGUGGCGAAGGCGGGUUCCUGGACAUUAACUGACGCUGAGGCACGAAGGCCAGGGGAGCGAAAGGGAUUAGAUACCCUUGUAGUC
rnacentral:rRNA from 1 species